rnacentral:rRNA from 1 species
UACGUAGGUGGCAGGCGUUAUCUGGAUUUAUUGGGCGUAAAGAGAACGCAGGCGGUCUUUUAAGUCUGAUGUGAAAGCCUUCGGCUUAACCGGAGUAGUGCAUUGGAAACUGGGAGACUUGAGUGCAGAAGAGGAGAGUGGAACUCCAUGUGUAGCGGUGAAAUGCGUAGAUAUAUGGAAGAACACCAGUGGCGAAAGCGGCUCUCUGGUCUGUAACUGACGCUGAGGUUCGAAAGCGUGGGUAGCAAACAGG